GAUGAAGAACGCAGCGAAAUGCGAUAAGUAAUGUGAAUUGCAGAAUUCAGUGAAUCAUCGAAUCUUUGAACGCACCUUGCGCCCUUUGGUAUUCCGAAGGGCAUGCCUGUUUGAGUGUCAUUAAAUUCUCAAACUCUAUGACUUUAUUGUUGUAGCUGUUUGGAUUGCUGGGGGUUGCUGGCGUCUUCUUUUGAAGUCGGCUCCUCUUAAAUGCAUUAGCGGGACUUUGUUGCCUCUGCGCAUAGUGUGAUAAUUAUCUACGCUAGACGCAUGCAAUUCUUAUAUUGUCCAGCUUUCUAAUCGUCUCAAGGGACAAUUACUUUGACAAUUUGACCUCAAAUCAGGUAGGACUACCCGCUGAACUUAAGCAUAUCAAUAAGCGGAGGA
rnacentral:misc_RNA from 1 species